GCUUAACCCGUCAUGGUGAGAUCAGAAAAAGCCAAACACUUAUCGUCAUAUGAGAGAUAUCAGGUAUGUCUUUAUCAAUCAUGGUUUGCGUAUGUUCUUUUUAUUAUUAGCUGUAGGAAUACACACAUUGAGGCAUGUUUUUGUUUAUCACCUAGAGCCUUUCUAGCCAUCCCAUCUAUUAUUAUUAUUAUCCAUUGUUUAACCCUGUUGAGCCUGUUAUUCAUUUGUUUCUGAUAUACUCGCUCUUCUCAAUCCAUGACCUUGUAAUUAUCCUACCCUAUUCAGAGUAUGUGAGGAUUAAUUUCAGCUCUACGUUUCUAUCUAAGUUUGGGGUUGCUGUUGGAAUAGCAACCUUUAAGUUUGCGGUAGCUUUGCAGUAAGUGAAUGUAGUAAAAAAAAAAAAAGAAAGAAAGAAAGAGAAAAGCGAAAAACAAUAAAAGAACAGCUUUUGAAAAAUGCUACAUUCACUAUAGAUAAAAGGAAAAGAGGAAUACAAAACCCAACAGGAAUAAUAAGAAAGAAACGUAGUGAGAGAAUGAUUUCAUGUACUCUGAACCAAAAACCUUUGUUCCAAUUUCAUACCCUACCUAAACCAAAG
rnacentral:lncRNA from 1 species